GUUCUGGUAUUUCAGUGGUUAGCACGUACCUCCGGAAAGGAUAAGACGCGAGUUCAAUUCCCGCCCGGGGUC